AGUUGAACGCUGAAGGAGGAGCUUGCUUCUCCGGAUGAGUUGCGAACGGGUGAGUAACGCGUAGGUAACCUGCCUGGUAGCGGGGGAUAACUAUUGGAAACGAUAGCUAAUACCGCAUAAGAGUAGAUGUUGCAUGACAUUUGCUUAAAAGGUGCAAUUGCAUCACUACCAGAUGGACCUGCGUUGUAUUAGCUAGUUGGUGGGGUAACGGCUCACCAAGGCGACGAUACAUAGCCGACCUGAGAGGGUGAUCGGCCACACUGGGACUGAGACACGGCCCAGACUCCUACGGGAGGCAGCAGUAGGGAAUCUUCGGCAAUGGACGGAAGUCUGACCGAGCAACGCCGCGUGAGUGAAGAAGGUUUUCGGAUCGUAAAGCUCUGUUGUAAGAGAAGAACGAGUGUGAGAGUGGAAAGUUCACACUGUGACGGUAUCUUACCAGAAAGGGACGGCUAACUACGUGCCAGCAGCCGCGGUAAUACGUAGGUCCCGAGCGUUGUCCGGAUUUAUUGGGCGUAAAGCGAGCGCAGGCGGUUAGAUAAGUCUGAAGUUAAAGGCUGUGGCUUAACCAUAGUACGCUUUGGAAACUGUUUAACUUGAGUGCAAGAGGGGAGAGUGGAAUUCCAUGUGUAGCGGUGAAAUGCGUAGAUAUAUGGAGGAACACCGGUGGCGAAAGCGGCUCUCUG
rnacentral:rRNA from 1 species